AGUGAACGCUGGCGGUAGGCCUAACACAUGCAAGUCGAACGGCAGCACAGUAAGAGCUUGCUCUUACGGGUGGCGAGUGGCGGACGGGUGAGGAAUACAUCGGAAUCUACUUUUUCGUGGGGGAUAACGUAGGGAAACUUACGCUAAUACCGCAUACGACCUACGGGUGAAAGCAGGGGAUCUUCGGACCUUGCGCGAUUGAAUGAGCCGAUGUCGGAUUAGCUAGUUGGCGGGGUAAAGGCCCACCAAGGCGACGAUCCGUAGCUGGUCUGAGAGGAUGAUCAGCCACACUGUAACUGAGACACGGUCCAGACUCCUACGGGAGGCAGCAGUGGGGAAUAUUGGACAAAGGGCGCAAGCCUGAUCCAGCCAUACCGCGUGGGUGAAGAAGGCCUUCGGGUUGUAAAGCCCUUUUGUUGGGAAAGAAAAGCAGCAGGUUAAUACCCCGCUGUUCUGACGGUACCCAAAGAAUAAGCACCGGCUAACUUCGUG
rnacentral:rRNA from 1 species